GACAUUUACAAGAACUGGCGGCGGCAGCAGCAGCAGCAGCAGCAGCAGCAGCAGCAGCAGCAGCAGCAGCAACUGGAUUUGCUUUUUCACCAGAGGAUCCAGAUUUCCCUGUGGCCUCGCAAACAAAAAAGAAGGAAGACGGAGCAGCACAGUCAUUCCUUUGUGAAAAAGGCAUUCAGAGACGGGGUUUCACCGUGUUAGCCAGGAUGGUCUCGAUCUCCUGACCUCGCGAUCCGCCCGCCUCGGCCUCCCAAAGUGCUGGGAUUACAGGCGUGAGCCACCGCGCCCGGCUUCAGCUGGUUUUUCAAAAGUCAUGGCGUGUAACUGUCCGAACAGUGAACUUCGGAGAUCCACCGGAGGGGCGAGGCCACAGCUCGACCGCGAGCACCUGAGCAUCCUGCACCGCCUGCGACGGCCGUCAGGGGGCGCGAUGCCGCCUCACAGAACCUCAAGAGGCGCCCGGGUUCCGGCACAGACGGCCUGCGGCUCCAGGGGGCGGAACCGAGCCGUCUCCUCAGGACCUACGCAGGAGGCGCCGUCAUCCCUACAGGGACACCUGAGAGGGCCCAGCCUCCUCCUCCUCAGGACCUACUCGGGAGACGCCGCUGGCUCUCUAGGAACACCUGGGGACCGUGGCCAGGGACGACCCAGCCUCCUUCUCCUCAGCUCCUCAGGAACGACUGGGGAAGCUGUGGCUUCAUGGUCCCCGAGGCUGCCCGAGGAAAGGUAUUUCAGGACAGCCAGGAGGGGGCGCACAUCCGCCGCGAAACUGUGAGCAAGAGCGUCUGUGCUGAACCAUGGCGCCACCAGAGGGCGCGCGAUCCCGCCCCAACCAACUUCCCGCUGAAGUGCCAGAAGCAGCGAGGAGCUUCAACUUCCUCAGGGCAGCACGGGGGUCGUGUUAAUUUGGUGUUCUUCAUUGAUGAUGAUUAUUCCCCACCUUCUAAGAGACAAAGACCAACGAGCCACCACAGCCACCAGUCCCAGAACCUGCCAAUGCUGGGGAACGGAAAAUGAGGGAGUUCAACUCUGGCCCUCACAAUCCAGUGGAGGAGACGAAACUCAUCUGCCUCUGUCCCUCUGGGCACGCCUCAUGCCAGGUGCAUCUGUGGACAGGGGCCAUGCUCCUGGGCUUCCAAAGUUGGAGAAAGCUGCCAGGCUCAGGUCUGAAGGCCAGAAUUCUACAGUAAGUCCUACUGAGUCAAGGUGGGAGCAGGGUCGGUAGCUUCCGAGGCUCUGCGGGAGAAUCCGUUUCCUGGCCGUAGAGGUGGCCUGCACUCCGCAGCUUGUGCUGCCCGUCUCGAAUGACUGGAGUUUCCUGCUUCUGUCACUACACCUCCCACCCUCUCCAUCACCUGCUCUGCUCUUACAAGGAUCCGAAGAAAUGGAAUCAUCGUAUCGCUGAUCUACGUAAACAAACUGAAGAAUUGUCUGAAAGAAAAUAUGACAUGAACUUAUGAAUUCAACAGGUGAAGAUUUACAACUUGAUAAAUCAACUUUGUCAGCUCGAGCUGUAAAAGCCAAAGGUCCGGUGAUGAUCCCAUACCCUUUUUUCCAGUCUCAUGUUGAAGAUUUUUAUGUAGAAGGCCUUCCCAAAGGAAUUUUUUUUUUUUUUUUUUUUUUUUGAGAUGGAGUUUUCACUCUUAUCGCCCAGGCUGGGGUGCAAUGGCGCAACCUUGCUGGUCACUGCAACCUCUGCCUCCUGGGUUCAAGAAAUUCUCCUGCCUUAGCCUCCCAAGUCACUGGGAUUACAGGUGCCCACCACCAUACCAGGCUAAUUUUUGUAUUUUUAGUGGAGAUGCGGUUUCACCAU
rnacentral:lncRNA from 1 species